AGGGAAUAUUGCGCAAUGGGGGAAACCCUGACGCAGCAACGCCGCGUGAGUGAGGAAGGUCUUCGGAUUGUAAAACUCUUUUAUCAGGGAAAAAUGGUCAUGGAGCUAAUACCCCAUGAUUUGAUGGUACCUGAGGAAUAAGCACCGGCUAACUUCGUGCCAGCAGCCGCGGUAAUACGAAGGGUGCAAGCGUUGUUCGGAAUCAUUGGGCGUAAAGCGCGCGCAGGCGGAUCAGCAAGUCAGAUGUG
rnacentral:rRNA from 1 species